AUCCGGGUUGCGGACAGUGUCUGGUGGGUAGUUUGACUGGGGCGGUCUCCUCCUAAAGAGUAACGGAGGAGCACGAAGGUUGGCUAAUCCUGGUCGGACAUCAGGAGGUUAGUGCAAUGGCAUAAGCCAGCUUGACUGCGAGCGUGACGGCGCGAGCAGGUGCGAAAGCAGGUCAUAGUGAUCCGGUGGUUCUGAAUGGAAGGGCCAUCGCUCAACGGAUAAAAGGUACUCCGGGGAUAACAGGCUGAUACCGCCCAAGAGUUCAUAUCGACGGCGGUGUUUGGCACCUCGAUGUCGGCUCAUCACAUCCUGGGGCUGAAGUAGGUCCCAAGGGUAUGGCUGUUCGCCAUUUAAAGUGGUACGCGAGCUGGGUUUAGAACGUCGUGAGACAGUUCGGUCCCUAUCUGCCGUGGGCGCUGGAGAACUGAGGGGGGCUGCUCCUAGUACGAGAGGACCGGAGUGGACGCAUCACUGGUGUUCGGGUUGUCAUGCCAAUGGCACUGCCCGGUAGCUAAAUGCGGAAGAGAUAAGUGCUGAAAGCAUCUAAGCACGAAACUUGCCCCGAGAUGAGUUCUCCCUGAGACUUAGAGUCUCCUGAAGGAACGUUGAAGACGACGACGUUGAUAGGUCGGGUGUGUAAGUGUAGCGAUACAUUGAGCUAACCGAUACUAAUGAACCGUGAGGCUUAACCUUAC
rnacentral:rRNA from 1 species